GCUGACGAGGGGGUGCGGGGAAGGGGGAGGGGAGGUGCUGGGAUGUGUAUGCAUCUGUGGUUCCAGUACGAGCAGCUGGACAAGGGGAAGUGUCUGAUGUGCCAGAGAAUGAAAAAGGUCCAGCUCAUCUGGUCCGUGGGCUGAGUAGGAGUGCAGGGCUACAAACCUGGGGAGACAAGGGAAUGGGUGAAGAAGGAGGUGUCUUGCAGUGAGGUUUGGCUGAAAACACAGAAGAUCCAUGAGAAGUCAGUCUCCCUUAGUAUGAGCAGCGAAGUCCUACUCAGGCUGGUCUGAAGCCAGUUCAGAUGUUACUGUCAUCUUUGGUCAACUUCCAUCUUUUAUCAGUACUUCCCAGUUACUUCACUGUAUCAAUACACUCUGACAACUCUCUUGCAAACUGGUGUGUGGACAAACAAACUCUGGCACAUCCAUACAGUGGAAUAUGGCUCAUCAAUAAAAAGGGACUAGCUGGUCAUACACCCAA